AUGAUCUCUUCAUCUUUAGUGCUGCUUCUGGCAGUCAUAUCCUGUAUUGAUUCAUAUGAACUCACUCAGCCUGAGUCUCUGACUGUCCAUCCUGAUGCCACUCUCACUAUCAACUGUAAAGUCUCAUAUUCAGUUACAAGCUAUUAUACAGGCUGGAUUCGUCAACCUGCAGGAAAAGCUCUGGAGUGGAUUGGAGUCAUCUGGUAUAAUGGAGACUUAUACUACAAGGAUUCUCUGAAAAGCAAGUUCAGUAUCAGCAGAGACACUUCCAGUAACACAAUAACACUGCAAGGAAAGAAUAUGCGAGCUGAAGACACAGCUGUGUAUUAUUGUGCCAAAGAAACACAGUGA